rnacentral:lncRNA from 1 species
UAUGCAGGGACAUAGAAGAUGACCUGUGAGUGGCCCCCUCACUGGGCUCAGGGGGCAGAGGUUGGGAUCAGGGGUUUCCAAAGUGGUUGGUUGGGACUCUAGAGGCAUAGUGUGGAGAAGAGGGAGCCGCGGAGACAUGAACCCAAAAAUGUGCAUGCAGUUUUCUCUUGGAGGCAUUUGCUGACUCCCACGCUGGGUCCACAUGGAGCAAGACUUCCAAGAACACAGGGGAAGGUGGCUGGGUCUGAUGAGAGGGAGAGGCAGGGCGGCAGGGAGAGCUCAAAAGCUCAAAGCCGUGCCCUCCUUCCAUGGCUUUCAAACAUUGUCAUGCUCCUCUUCUAUGCAAGUGAACUUGCAAUGUAUUAUUACAAUGAGCCAACCAGGCGUGGCCACAGAUGAAACUAGAGUAGGAGGUCCUACGUCCUUUUCUAGAACCUUCCAGGGUGUGGCAGGGUCCUUUGCAAAGUCUCUAUCUAACUCCUCAUUUCAUGGAUGGGGAGCUCCCACCUAGAUGGGGCAGAGCCUUGUCCAGCUGGGAAGAGGUGGGGUGGGCCUUCCCCCUUUUUCUUCCCACUAGAUUUCAGCAGAAAGGCAAGAGUUUGAGAGAGCAUGCUGAUAACAGGUAGGUAGCCAGCGGUGAAGAGGGGGUGCCUAAGAGGUGAACUCCCGGGUUCCAAUUCUGAUCCUAUCACUGAGGCUCCGUGGGGCCCAGGCAAAUGGCCUUGCCUCUCUGGGACUCAGCUUCUUCGUUAUAAUAGAAGCGACCUCACUGGCUUGUUGUGAGCGUCUAGUGAGGUGGGGACUUACAGAGUACUCAGCACUGGAGCCUGGUGCUCAGUUGGGGCUGCUCCACCAGCUCCAUGGUGCGGGGGACUCAUUGGUUGGACAGCUAUGGGGAGUGCCGAUCAGGCAGACGAGAAUGCCAGCUUUGCAACGAACGCCUGGGCACUGAUCCCGGAUCCCCACUGCCUGCCCUGAGCCCCUCUCAGAGCCCCAGCCACCUCCUCUGAUGUCACCUGCUUCUCGCCUUCCUCGUAAGGACAAAGAGAAGGAAGCCAUGGAAAGUUCUUAGCUCAAUGCCUGGUGUGGACUGUGUCCUCAGCUAAAUGGCAGCCUUGAUUCUCAGUACAGUGUUUUUUUUUUAUUGUUUUCUUCUCAGUAGAGGAUGUAGGGCCAGAAAGUCUUCUCUUUCUGGUUCACCCAUGUCUCUCUCAAUGAUCAUCCUCAUUAUAAUUAUCAUGAUUAUAAUCAUUACCAACUUAAAAAUUGCUCAGGUUCAAUCACGGCUCUGCCGCCUAAGAGCUUAAGCUCUUAGACAUCACUCUUCCUAUCUGUGA